AAAAAAAAUCCUAGGCCCGGCCCUGUCAAAGAGAGAACGGAAUAAUGGCGAAAAGGUUAGGUAAGAGAAAAAUUGAUUCAGAAUGCAGGGUAUUUAACCUGCAGUGGACAAACAAUUUUUUUUUGUUCAAUGCAAAGAAAAGGCUGUUUGUCUCAUCUGUCAAGAGACGGUGGCGGUAUUCAAAGAAUACAAUCUUCGCCGACACUAUGAAUCCCGUCACAAAGACAAGUACGAUAGCUUGCAAGGCCAAAUACGAGCAGACAAACUCUCAAAGCUAAAAAGUGGACUACUAUCUCAGCAGAAUACAUUUGUACGCCAAGCUCAGCUGAACCAGGCAUCCGUUCGGGCCAGCUUUCGGGUUGCUAAACUGAUAGCAAGAAGCGGUAAGCCUUUCACUGACGGAGAGUUUGUUAAGAAAUGUAUGGAUCCUGUCGCGGAGGAGGUGUGUCCCGAGAAGAAAGAUGCAUUUAAUGCCGUAAGUCUGUCGGCGAGUACAAUCACCAGACGCGUUGAAGAAAUCGGGAGUAAUGUAUAUGCCCAGCUGCAGCAGAAGACGAAAGAAUUUGACUUUUUUCAUUAGCACUGGAUGAGAGCACGGACGUGCAAGACACAGCGCAACUGCUCAUUUUUAUUCCCAGCCUUCAUAUCAGUUUGAGUUGGCUGAGUUACAGAACUGUGAUGUUCUGAAAGACGCAUUCAAGCCCAACAGUCUCAUUGACUUCUAUGCCGCCCUCCCAAACGACACAUAUCCAAACAUCAAAAAACACGCAAUGAAAAUGUCCACAGUUUUUGGCAGCACGUAUAUCUGCGAGAAAACCUUUUCUCGCAUGAAACUGCUGAAAACCCCGAUGAGAUCAAGAUUGACAGAUGAACAUUUGCAUCAGUGCUUGAGACUGGCUGUAACUAGAAUGGAACCUGAUAUUCAACUUCUCACCAGCCAGAUGCAGGCCCACAGUUCACACUGAUGAACAUACAUAGGGAAGUUGAUGAGAGAGAGCUGCAAACAGCGGUGUCUACAAGCCUACUGGAACCUACAAAAGGAUUAUAAGGAAGGAACACAAGAACUUUAAGAGACUGCUCAUAUGUGUCAGAGAGAUUCUGCUCUGACAACUGAGCUGAACUUUUAUCUGUUAAGAUUGUGCAUGGCACGACAGAAAGUUAAUGUUCCAUGGCUUUUUUUUCUAUGAAGAACCCAGAGAGAGUUAUUUAGUUAUUAUUUAUUUCCUGUUUUUUCUGUGAAGAACUCAGAGAGGGUUAUUUAGUUAUUAUUUAUUUCAUUAAUAGUGUUAUUAUUUGUUUCCUGACUUUUUUUCUGUAAAGAACCUGGAAAGGGUUAUUUGGUUAUGUGUGGCUUUCUGGAAAACAAUAAAUUUUUUAAGCUCCC